GAUGAACGCUGGCGGCGUGCCUAAUACAUGCAAGUCGAGCGAACAGAUAAGGAGCUUGCUCCUUUGACGUUAGCGGCGGACGGGUGAGUAACACGUGGAUAACCUACCUAUAAGACUGGGAUAACUUCGGGAAACCGGAGCUAAUACCGGAUAACAUAUUGAACCGCAUGGUUCAAUAGUGAAAGGCGGCUUUGCUGUCACUUAUAGAUGGAUCCGCGCCGUAUUAGCUAGUUGGUAAGGUAACGGCUUACCAAGGCAACGAUACGUAGCCGACCUGAGAGGGUGAUCUGCCACACUGGAACUGAGACACGGUCCAGACUCCUACGGGAGGCAGCAGUAGGGAAUCUUCCGCAAUGGGCGAAAGCCUGACGGAGCAACGCCGCGUGAGUGAUGAAGGUCUUCGGAUCGUAAAACUCUGUUAUCAGGGAAGAACAAAUGUGUAAGUAACUGUGCACAUCUUGACGGUACCUGAUCAGAAAGCCACGGCUAACUACGUG
rnacentral:rRNA from 1 species